rfam:Tetrahymena thermophila SB210 genomic scaffold scf_8254677, whole genome shotgun sequence.
AGAAUUUCGACAAUAAUAUUGAUAUUCUCAUGAAGUAGGCAAAGAAUAAAAUCACUAGCAAGCUGGUAUAGUAAUUUCAUAUUACUACGCUUGAUGAGCAGUGAGAUACUU